UUCAGCGAUUUGUUUGCUCUGGCGGAGGAGUACGAGGACUCUCAGGCCAAGCCUCCAAAGUCUCGCCGUAAGGCCCCCGCCACCUCGCCGCGCUCACGCAAAGGAGCGGCUCCGCCCACCAACAACGAGGAGGAGAGCGCCUCCAGCAGCGCCUCGGAGGAGGAGGACUCGAAGCCCAAAGCCCCGAAGAGGAAGAGGAAAGGCUCGUCAGCGGUUGGCUCUGACAGCGACUGAUGGACUCUCUGAACCAAUAAGACGCUCUGACCACUGGAAGAGGCCCCACCCCCUUUAUCAUGACAAGCACUUUCUACCAAGGGAGGGGCGGGGCUCUGAGACGCCACGCGCUGUAAAUCCUGGUGACCAAGUGACUUUUUCACGAUGCCACCGUUUCCACGGAGACGGGACCUGGCUGGUCGCCGUGCGGCUGAUCUCCCAUGAUGCACUGGGAGGAAAUGAACAUACUGAAACCAGCACAGACAUUUUAACUGAGGACAUGAAGAUGCUGAGUGUUUGUGGGGUAUUCUUUUCUUUUUUUAAAGUUUCUUUUCUUUUGGCGGGGCGGCUGGACUCUUAUUGUGGAGGAGGCUCACUUCCUGCUGUUUGUAGCAGCUCCUUCCUGUUUGUCCCGCUGCAGUAAAACCCCGACCUGUUGUGAACUUCAUGUUGGAACAAGUCUUCAUAUAAAACCUGAAGUUUG